rnacentral:lncRNA from 1 species
CCUGUAUGCCAUACCAAUGUUAUCACACUCCUUGGUUAAGAGGAUAACUAAUUCAUAUGGCACACAACAACCUUCACUCGAUAAACAUCAUCAUCCCAUAAUGACGUAUCAUUUGGUCGCGAACUUGUUUAAGAACUAUACGAUAAAUCCUCUCUUUAUCAUAUACUCGCAUAGUUUUAGGGACUUCAUCACAGUACAAGAGUUCAAAGAAGG